AAGCUCGUAGUUGAAUUUCGGGGUCAAUAAGUUGGUCGUGCCAAUGGUAUGCACAGGCUUUAUUGAUUCCUACCUCUUGACGAACUGUGAUGCCAUUAAUUUGGUGUUGCAGGGAAUCAGGACUGUUACUUUGAAAAAAUUAGAGCGUUUAAAGCAGACUAUCGUCUGAAUACAUUAGCAUGGAAUAAUGAAAUAGGACGGACUGAUCCUAUUUCGUUGGUUUCUAGGAUCACCGUAAUGAUUAAUAGGGAUAGUUGGG
rnacentral:rRNA from 1 species